AAGUCGUAACAAGGUUUCCGUAGGUGAACCUGCGGAAGGAUCAUUAACACGUAUCCACGUAUCAACCAACUGUGAACUUGUUCUCAACAACACACCUUUCACCCCCCUUUUUGCUAGUUGACUUUUAUAUGUUGCUCGUCUUCGCAUCUUUCGUUCAUUCGACUGAUGCCGAUAAUGUGGCACACGUUUAUUACUUGAACGUUAAAAUUACAACUCUUAGCAAUGGAUAUCUUGGUUCUC
rnacentral:misc_RNA from 1 species